UACGGAGGGGGCUAGCGUUGUUCGGAAUUACUGGGCGUAAAGCGCACGUAGGCGGCUUUGUAAGUCAGAGGUGAAAGCCCGGGGCUCAACCCCGGAAUUGCCUUUGAGACUGCAUCGCUUGAAUCACGGAGAGGUGGGUGGAAUUCCGAGUGUAGAGGUGAAAUUCGUAGAUAUUCGGAAGAACACCAGUGGCGAAGGCGGCCCACUGGACGUGUAUUGACGCUGAGGUGCGAAAGCGUGGGGAGCAAACAGG
rnacentral:rRNA from 1 species